rnacentral:rRNA from 1 species
UACGUAGGGUGCGAGCGUUAAUCGGAAUUACUGGGCGUAAAGCGUGCGUAGGCGGUUGCUGAAGUCCGUUGUGAAAGCCCCGGGCUUAACCUGGGAAUGGCAGUGGAAACUAGGCGACUUGAAUCUGGCAGAGGGGGGUGGAAUGCCACGUGUAGCAGUGAAAUGCGUAGAGAUGUGGCGGAACACCGAUGGCGAAGGCAGCCCCCUGGGUUGAGAUUGACGCUCAGGCACGAAAGCGUGGGGAGCAAACAGG